AAUAAGUGCAGUUUUACACUGUUCAUAUGCAACGUUUGACCAUUUAUUUUAUUUAAAAUUAUUUUAUGAUUAGUAUUUUUAUUAUUAUUAGAUGAUAAAACAUGAAUAAUAUUUUAUGUGUGACUAAUUCUUUUAAUUUUUUAUAAAUUUUUCAAAUAAGACGGAAAGUCAAACGUUACACACGAAUUUCCACGGAUACAUUUUUU
rfam:Oryza barthii chromosome 1, whole genome shotgun sequence.